rnacentral:rRNA from 2 species
GACGGUAUCCAACCAGAAAGCCACGGCUAACUACGUGCCAGCAGCCGCGGUAAUACGUAGGUGGCAAGCGUUAUCCGGAUUUAUUGGGCGUAAAGCGAGCGCAGGCGGUUUUUUAAGUCUGAUGUGAAAGCCCUCGGCUUAACCGAGGAAGCGCAUCGGAAACUGGGAAACUUGAGUGCAGAAGAGGACAGUGGAACUCCAUGUGUAGCGGUGAAAUGCGUAGAUAUAUGGAAGAACACCAGUGGCGAAGGCGGCUGUCUGGUCUGUAACUGACGCUGAGGCUCGAAAGCAUGGGUAGCGAACAGGAUUAGAUACCCUGGUAGUCCAUGCCGUAAACGAUGAAUGCUAGGUGUUGGAGGGUUUCCGCCCUUCAGUGCCGCAGCUAACGCAUUAAGCAUUCCGC